rnacentral:rRNA from 1 species
GACGAACGCUGGCGGCGUGCUUAACACAUGCAAGUCGAACGGAAAGGCCCCUUCGGGGGCACUCGAGUGGCGAACGGGUGAGUAACACGUGGGUGAUCUGCCCUGCACUUUGGGAUAAGCCUGGGAAACUGGGUCUAAUACCGGAUAGGACUACGCACUGCAUGGUGUGUGGUGGAAAGCGUUUGCGGUGUGGGAUGGGCCCGCGGCCUAUCAGCUUGUUGGUGGGGUGAUGGCCUACCAAGGCGACGACGGGUAGCCGGCCUGAGAGGGUGUCCGGCCACACUGGGACUGAGAUACGGCCCAGACUCCUACGGGAGGCAGCAGUGGGGAAUAUUGCACAAUGGGCGCAAGCCUGAUGCAGCGACGCCGCGUGAGGGAUGACGGCCUUCGGGUUGUAAACCUCUUUCAAUAGGGACGAAGCGGAAGUGACGGUACCUAUAGAAGAAGCACCGGCCAACUACGUGCCAGCAGCCGCGGUAAUACGUAGGGUGCGAGCGUUGUCCGGAAUUACUGGGCGUAAAGAGCUCGUAUGUGGUUUGUCGCGUUGUUCGUGAAAACUCACAGCUUAACUGUGGGCGUGCGGGCGAUACGGGCAGACUGGAGUACUGCAGGGGAGACUGGAAUUCCUGGUGUAGCGGUGGAAUGCGCAGAUAUCAGGAGGAACACCGGUGGCGAAGGCGGGUCUCUGGGCAGUAACUGACGCUGAGGAGCGAAAGCGUGGGGAGCGAACAGGAUUAGAUACCCCUGGUAGUCCACGCCGUAAACGGUGGGUACUAGGUGUGGGUUUCCUUCCUUGGGAUCCGUGCCGUAGCUAACGCAUUAAGUACCCCGCCUGGGGAGUACGGCCGCAAGGCUAAAACUCAAAGGAAUUGACGGGGGCCCGCACAAGCGGCGGAGCAUGUGGAUUAAUUCGAUGCAACGCGAAGAACCUUACCUGGGUUUGACAUGCACAGGACGUGCCUAGAGAUAGGUAUUCCCUUGUGGCCUGUGUGCAGGUGGUGCAUGGCUGUCGUCAGCUCGUGUCGUGAGAUGUUGGGUUAAGUCCCGCAACGAGCGCAACCCUUGUCUCAUGUUGCCAGCACGUGAUGGUGGGGACUCGUGAGAGACUGCCGGGGUCAACUCGGAGGAAGGUGGGGAUGACGUCAAGUCAUCAUGCCCCUUAUGUCCAGGGCUUCACACAUGCUACAAUGGCCGGUACAAAGGGCUGCGAUGCCGUGAGGUGGAGCGAAUCCUUUCAAAGCCGGUCUCAGUUCGGAUCGGGGUCUGCAACUCGACCCCGUGAAGUCGGAGUCGCUAGUAAUCGCAGAUCAGCAACGCUGCGGUGAAUACGUUCCCGGGCCUUGUACUCACCGCC